GAUGAACGCUGGCGGCGUGCCUAAUACAUGCAAGUCGAGCGAACAGACGAGGAGCUUGCUCCUCUGACGUUAGCGGCGGACGGGUGAGUAACACGUGGAUAACCUACCUAUAAGACUGGGAUAACUUCGGGAAACCGGAGCUAAUACCGGAUAAUAUAUUGAACCGCAUGGUUCAAUAGUGAAACACGGUUUUGCUGUCACUUAUAGAUGGAUCCGCGCCGCAUUAGCUAGUUGGUAAGGUAACGGCUUACCAAGGCAACGAUGCGUAGCCGACCUGAGAGGGUGAUCGGCCACACUGGAACUGAGACACGGUCCAGACUCCUACGGGAGGCAGCAGUGGGGAAUAUUCCGCAAUGGGCGAAAGCCUGACGGAGCAACGCCGCGUGAGUGAUGAAGGUCUUCGGAUCGUAAAGCUCUGUUAUUAGGGAAGAACAAAUGUGUAAGUAACUAUGCCCGUCUUGACGGUACCUAAUCAGAAAGCCACGGCUAACUACGUG
rnacentral:rRNA from 1 species